CUCAGCUUGCUGGGGGGAUUAGUGGCGAACGGGUGAGUAACACGUGAGUAACCUGCCCUUGACUCUGGGAUAAGCCUGGGAAACCGGGUCUAAUACUGGAUAUGACCUUCCCACGCAUGUGGUGUUGGUGGAAAGCUUUUGUGGUUUUGGAUGGACUCGCGGCCUAUCAGCUUGUUGGUGGGGUAAUGGCUUACCAAGGCGACGACGGGUAGCCGGCCUGAGAGGGUGACCGGCCACACUGGGACUGAGACACGGCCCAGACUCCUACGGGAGGCAGCAGUGGGGAAUAUUGCACAAUGGGCGCAAGCCUGAUGCAGCGACGCCGCGUGAGGGAUGAAGGCCUUCGGGUUGUAAACCUCUUUCAGUAGGGAAGAAGCUGGUCCUUUUGGGGUUGGUGACGGUACCUGCAGAAGAAGCGCCGGCUAACUACGUGCCAGCAGCCGCGGUAAUACGUAGGGCGCAAGCGUUAUCCGGAAUUAUUGGGCGUAAAGAGCUCGUAGGCGGUUUGUCGCGUCUGCCGUGAAAGUCCGGGGCUUAACCCCGGAUCUGCGG
rnacentral:rRNA from 1 species